rnacentral:rRNA from 1 species
UACGUAGGGUGCAAGCGUUAAUCGGAAUUACUGGGCGUAAAGCGUGCGCAGGCGGCUUUGCAAGACAGAUGUGAAAUCCCCGGGCUUAACCUGGGAACUGCAUUUGCGACUGCAUGGCUGGAGUGCGGCAGAGGGGGAUGGAAUUCCGCGUGUAGCAGUGAAAUGCGUAGAUAUGUGGAGGAACACCGAUGGCGAAGGCAGCCCCCUGGGAUAACACUGACGCUCAUGCACGAAAGCGUGGGGAGCAAACAGG